rnacentral:ribozyme from 1 species
UGCCCAGCAACUCCUAUCCCUACCUCUUCGUGGUACCGGCCGGAAACUAUGAGCAACUUUAGGGGAGAUCGGGUAACCCAAUGGGAUUUUUUUUGGAAUUUGGGAGGG